UUCAAUUGAAGAGUUUGAUCAUGGCUCAGAUUGAACGCUGGCGGCAGGCCUAACACAUGCAAGUCGAGCGGUAACAGGAAAGCGCUUGCGCUUUUGCUGACGAGUGGCGGACGGGUGAGUAAUGUCUGGGGAUCUGCCCGAGGGCGGGGGAUAACCACUGGAAACGGUGGCUAAUACCGCAUAAUGUCGCGAGACCAAAGUGGGGGACCUGAAAGGGCCUCA
rnacentral:rRNA from 1 species